rnacentral:rRNA from 1 species
UACGGAGGGUGCAAGCGUUGUCCGGAUUUAUUGGGUUUAAAGGGUGCGUAGGCGGCUGUUUAAGUCAGCGGUGAAAGUUUUGGGCUCAACCCAGAAAUUGCCAUUGAUACUGGACAGCUUGAGUAUUGGAGGGGUACAUGGAAUUGAUGGUGUAGCGGUGAAAUGCAUAGAUACCAGCAGGAAAAACGAUAGCGAAGGCAUUGUACUGGCCAAUAGCUGACGCUGAUGCGCGAGAGCAUGGGUAGCGAACAGG